UCAAACUGAAACAAAAGAUCAAAUUAAACCAAGUUCCAGGAACUAGGUACAGACAAACAAAAGAAAGCAAGUUCAAUGUUCAUAGUUCAACCCUCCCUAAUACCCUAGUCUCCCAUAGUCCUAUAGACACACACACACACAAAGUUCAACAAAAGAAGAGGCAAAUAUCUGAAGUUCCACAAAAGCAAAAAGCCAUGGACAUGUGUUAGCUUCAACCAUCAACCUCAGACUGUUGACAUUCUUGUCGGCUCGGCUGCAACUGCGUAAACUUCUCCACCAUCCGAAGACGAUGCUCGUAAUCAAGGAUCUACUCCUGGGCUACUCGGACCUGCUCCUGGCCUUGUGAUGCCUCCUCCUGAGCUUGUCAGGCCUCCUCUUGGGCUUGUCGGGCCUGCUCUCGAACCUCCUCAAGAACUCUAUCAUUGGGACGGGAUAUCUAAACAUUGAUGAAUGAAAUAACUUUACCAUUCUUACAUUCAACACAGAACAUAAUCAUUUGAAAUCACAAAUGACUUCCAUAACAACCAAUAAUUCAAUAUAUAUAUAUAUAUAUAUAUAUAUAUAAUCACUUUUGCUACAUCAUAAUCACACAUGCAUAUUGUAUCGUAAUCCCACAAACUAAAAUAUCAACAAUAUUUGACUGGAAUUCUUCACCGGAAACUCAUAGGAAAACAUGGAAGAUGUGAUGAAAAAGAGAGAGAAAGAGAUCAUACCAAGCUAAAGCUAAUGGGUAGAGGUUGACAAAGCUUUAUGAUCACCGAAAUGGAAGAAUUUCACACUGAAAUGGCAAAAUCCGAGCAGAAAUUUGAUUUGGCAGCUUUCCCCAUUUUCUCUCGUCUGUUUCAAAUCUGAAAACUAAAUGAGAGAUUAUAAACUGAGUGAGUUUAGUUAGGCGAAGAAGCUUUUUUGUCGCCUUAGAAACUGACUUUGUCGCCUAAGACAACUUCAGGCGACGAAAAAACUUGUUCAGCGCCUUAGUAUAUAGUUGAUAACUUAGGCGACGAAAACAUCUUCGUGGCCUGAUUGUCUACUAAGGCGAUGAAAACAUCUUUGUGGCCUGAGUGUCUAUUAAGGCGACGAAUCAUUUUCUUGUUCGUCUCCUAAGUUUGUUUAGGCCACGAAC
rnacentral:lncRNA from 1 species